UGUACUCGCGCCAACACAGCCACAUGGCCACGUUUUGGUAUGCAGAUACACAGACACAGAUUCUGUCGGUGAUCUUUCAUAUUGCCUUUCAUCACAUGAGAGAGACGAAAACAUCUGUAGGAUACCUUGUUCGGUCUGUUCUACAGAGAAGACGAGACAGAGGGCCCCUGUGUGAGUAUAUCCCAUGUAAACAGGGCCCUGUGCAUUGUGUGAAUUAGGUGGAUUAGCCCCUGCUUUUGUUGGACAUGGUGUGUACACACGGACACUGAUUCAGCUCUCCAAAAGCCAUUUUGGCCCUCACAACUUUAAGGAAGCCUUACAUUCUUAGGAGAUGGUCUAAAUGGGGGAUUCCUUUUGAAGCAACACGGCAUUCAUUAUUGUGUUGGUUCAGGUUUUGUUUGGCAAAAUGCAAAAACAUUGAAUUCAGUCGGAGCCUCCAUUAUAGUUUAGCCUGCAAAGACGAAUGGAAAACAUCCUGUUGGUGUCUUAAACUCGUCAAACGAAGCCCCGAAUUCGAGUAAUAACCCAGUGAACACAGGCAGAGAUAAAUACCUUUAAUUAGACCUAUCGAAUCUAUAAUUAUUAGUUUUGAUUGACUGAUAUUAUUGGUGACAUGAAAUUGGAGCAUGUGGAACACCCACCCAUACAGUCUCAUCGACCACCCGCCGCGCGUGCACGUGAUUUUGAGGUGUAAAUAAACAUUUGCACGUAUUUCUUCAUAUUUCCAGUUUUUGAACAAUUAAGACAAACAAUUUAAGGACUGGUUUAUUAACGCCGCCCAAUUAAAACAUCCCCCAGAACCAAUUUGUCUUCAUAUCAGCUGUCCUACCACGAUUUCUUCCAAAUAUUUUCAAAAUCGUUGCGAGCGGGUUUCGUCCCUCACGUCUGUCAGGUGCGAUCCAACAGAUGUGACUUAGAUGAUAUUUUAGAGUCCGUGCUUUUAUUUUUUCGUAAUCUUUGCCGUUUUAAUAGAAACAUAGUUUGUUUUUUUCCGAUCUGUUCUGCUCCCAUAAACUUUUGCUUAGUCCACCUCGUUUCAUGUGUCCUCACUAAAAAUAUGAAAUGCAACAGAUGUCGGAGACAAAAGAGGGAAAUUUAAUGGGAUACCGAUAAAAGUCAAACUGGCCGAUAUGCAACGCCAUGGCCUCUUUACGAUUCAUGAUUUUAGUGGCCAAAGAAAAACUAAUUGGAAAACAGUUUUAAUGCGGAUUUUGUAAUAAGAGUACAUCAGAAGGCCCGUAUAGGCCCCCUCUCUGCGUGACGUUUUCAUCAGUAUUCAUCCACCUGUAGCUUCAAGGCUUCUGUUGAUUUUGAAAUUAAUAAUGAUUGUUUUCGCAAACUACUCUACUCCCAUCAUUUGAGUUUGUUGUUUUUUUGUGCUGGUAUUUGGUGAAAGUCAUUAAAGCCGUGCUGUUGGAGAAUAGAUUAAAAACUUUAAAACGAGGACAAAAAAAGUGCUUUCAGAGUACUAAUUUUGACACUCAGCUUCUUAAAUAUUUAAUUUUAUGCAUUACUGUGCUUUUUAGUUUGGCUGAGGACGACCGACGAAAAAAAAGUUAAUGUAAAUGAAAUCUAAACUUAACCAAAGCUAUGUUUGUUGUAUUUUAAUUUAUAGAAAAUCGUCUCUUUUUUUUCUUUUUUUUUCUUUUUCUUUUUCUUUUCUUUCUUUCUUUUUCUUUUACAGCAGAGGGUAUUACGGAGUAAGCUACUGAUAUUCGACCCACAGUCUAUUUGUCAUAAAAAAAAAAAAACAUUUUCCAUUAUUGGCGCUUGCAGUGGUUUUGAUUUUUCAUCACUCAAAUGUAGCUGUUUGAAAAAAGUACGUUUUCUAUUGCAAUUUAGAAGCCCGCGCUGACUGACUUUGAUUGUGCUUAAUAUGAAAUGAUUUUGCGUCUUUGUGCUUGCUUGUGAGUAAGCGGAUUAGACUUGGAAAGAUGAGUUUCAACAUGUGGUGAUAACCUCUUCAAAGAGGAGAACAGUACAGCGGGUCAUCGCAGUUUCUUAUAUUUCAUUUACUUCAUUCAUGUGUUUUUUAAAGGGCCCAAAAAAUAUCAAGCGCCAGCUUACAAGAUUUGAACUGAGUUAAGGGCUAAUAGUCUUCAGGAUACACAUAUACAAACCACAUCUGAGGUCUGACUGCGCCAUUAGUGUAUCAGAAGGAAUAAAGUUUUAUGAUUGAGGUUAGCCUGUUUAUAUGUAGGAACAAGAUCCAUUACUUUUAAAAUCACGUUUUCUGGAUAUCAAUAUCUAUGCCUGGAUAUUUAUUAGUUAAACGUAGGCCUUCAGUCAUACAGUUGUCGCAUGUAUCAUGGAAACCAAUUUAAUCUAUGAGCAA
ensembl:lncRNA